GGAAUCUUGCGCAAUGGGCGAAAGCCUGACGCAGCAACGCCGCGUGCGGGAUGAAGGCCUUCGGGCUGUAAACCGCUCUCAGCAGGAACGAAAAUGACGGUACCUGCAGAAGAAGGAGCGGCCAACUACGUGCCAGCAGCCGCGGUGACACGUAGGCUCCAAGCGUUGUCCGGAUUUAUUGGGCGUAAAGAGCUCGUAGGCGGUUGAGUAAGUCGGGUGUGAAAACUCUGGGCUUAACCCGGAGACGCCAUCCGAUACUGCUCUGACUUGAGUUCAGGAGGGGAGUGGGGAAUUCCUAGUGUAGCGGUGAAAUGCGCAGAUAUUAGGAGGAACACCGGUGGCGAAGGCGCCACUCUGGACUGAAACUGACGCUGAGGAGCGAAAGCAUGGGUAGCAAACAGGAUUAGAUACCCUGGUAGUCCAUGCCGUAAACGGUGGGCACUAGGUGUGGGUUCCAACUAACGGGAUCCGCGCCGUCGCUAACGCAUUAAGUGCCCCGCCUGGGGAGUACGGUCGCAAGACUAAAACUCAAAGGAAUUGACGG
rnacentral:rRNA from 1 species